CCUGCUCUUAGGGGCAUUGCAGCUGUGGCAGAGGUGUGCAUGAGCCAUAGUAGGUGGCAGAGAGGAGAGAGGCUAAGUCUACGCUCAGUGUUCUGACCUGUGAACAUUUAAAUGAUUAAUAGCCUAAUAUU